rnacentral:lncRNA from 1 species
CUUUUCUUUUUAUUUUAUUUUGUAUGUUUAUUUUCAGUUUUAUAAUGUUGUGUGUUUUUUUUUAGGUGUGUUUCUUUUAUUGUUGUUUUUUUUUUCUCUUUCACUAAUGAAAUUGAAGGAUCAUUUAGGCCAAGUUUAUGCAGACUUUCCAAGUAAAACUCAAAACCCAUCCCUUUGUUCAAAAUUUUGCUCCUUAUUGUCCUUCAUAUAUUUUGCACAUU